rnacentral:lncRNA from 1 species
GAUUUUUAUUUUUUCACAUUUUAUUUUAUUGAUUUUCUAUUUUUCAUGAAAUUUCUCUUUUCUCUUUUAUUUUAAUUGGUUUAAAAAUAUUUUUCUGCAUUUUAAAAUUCUGAAAAAUUUAUUAUAUGCUUUUUAUUUUAUUUCCAACCUUCCAUAAUUUUCUUGAACAUUUAUUUGGUGUUUUGGAUGACUUUAUAGAUUUUUAGUUUUAUUUAUAUUCUAAAAUUCAUUUUAAAAAUUCUUUUGUUG